UACAGAGGUCCCAAGCGUUGUUCGGAUUCAUUGGGCGUAAAGGGUGCGUAGGCGGCGCGGUAAGUCGGGUGUGAAAUCUCGGAGCUUAACUCCGAAACUGCAUUCGAUACUGCCGUGCUUGAGGACUGGAGAGGAGACUGGAAUUUACGGUGUAGCGGUGAAAUUGCGUAGAUAUCGUAAGGAAGACCAGUGGCGAAGGCGGGUCGCUGGA
rnacentral:rRNA from 1 species